GUCCUGGUAGCAUAAUUUGGUUAAUGCGCGCGGCUGUUAACCGCGAGAUUGAAGGUUCAAAUCCUUUCUGGGACU
rnacentral:tRNA from 1 species